rnacentral:rRNA from 3 species
GGUUAAGCGACUAAGCGUACACGGUGGAUGCCCUGGCAGUCAGAGGCGAUGAAGGGCGUGCUAAUCUGCGAUAAGCGCCGGUAAGGUGAUAUGAACCGUUAUAACCGGCGAUACCCGAAUGGGGAAACCCAGUGUGACUCGUCACACUAUCAUUAACUGAAUCCAUAGGUUAAUGAGGCGAACCGGGGGAACUGAAACAUCUAAGUACCCCGAGGAAAAGAAAUCAACCGAGAUUCCCCCAGUAGCGGCGAGCGAACGGGGAGGAGCCCAGAGCCUGAAUCAGCAUGUGUGUUAGUGGAAGCGUCUGGAAAGGCGCGCGAUACAGGGUGACAGCCCCGUACACAAAAGCGCAUGUGCUGUGAGCUCGAUGAGUAGGGCGGGACACGUGGUAUCCUGUCUGAAUAUGGGGGGACCAUCCUCCAAGGCUAAAUACUCCUGACUGACCGAUAGUGAACCAGUACCGUGAGGGAAAGGCGAAAAGAACCCCGGCGAGGGGAGUGAAAAAGAACCUGAAACCGUGUACGUACAAGCAGUGGGAGCACCCUUUGGGUGUGACUGCGUACCUUUUGUAUAAUGGGUCAGCGACUUAUAUUCUGUAGCAAGGUUAACCGAAUAGGGGAGCCGGAGGGAAACCGAGUCUUAAUUGGGCGUUAAGUUGCAGGGUAUAGACCCGAAACCCGGUGAUCUAGCCAUGGGCAGGUUGAAGGUUGGGUAACACUAACUGGAGGACCGAACCGACUAAUGUUGAAAAAUUAGCGGAUGACCUGUGGCUGGGGGUGAAAGGCCAAUCAAACCGGGAGAUAGCUGGUUCUCCCCGAAAGCUAUUUAGGUAGCGCCUCGUGAAUUCAUCUCCGGGGGUAGAGCACUGUUUCGGCUAGGGGGCCAUCCCGGCUUACCAACCCGAUGCAAACUGCGAAUACCGGAGAAUGUUAUCACGGGAGACACACGGCGGGUGCUAACGUCCGUCGUGAAGAGGGAAACAACCCAGACCGCCAGCUAAGGUCCCAAAGUCAUGGUUAAGUGGGAAACGAUGUGGGAAGGCCCAGACAGCCAGGAUGUUGGCUUAGAAGCAGCCAUCAUUUAAAGAAAGCGUAAUAGCUCACUGGUCGAGUCGGCCUGCGCGGAAGAUGUAACGGGGCUAAACCAUGCACCGAAGCUGCGGCAGCGACACUGUGUGUUGUUGGGUAGGGGAGCGUUCUGUAAGCCUGUGAAGGUGUGUCGUGAGGCAUGCUGGAGGUAUCAGAAGUGCGAAUGCUGACAUAAGUAACGAUAAAGCGGGUGAAAAGCCCGCUCGCCGGAAGACCAAGGGUUCCUGUCCAACGUUAAUCGGGGCAGGGUGAGUCGACCCCUAAGGCGAGGCCGAAAGGCGUAGUCGAUGGGAAACGGGUUAAUAUUCCCGUACUUGGUGUUACUGCGAAGGGGGGACGGAGAAGGCUAUGUUGGCCGGGCGACGGUUGUCCCGGUUUAAGCGUGUAGGUGUGUGUUCCAGGUAAAUCCGGUUCACUUUAACACUGAGGCGUGACGACGAGGCACUACGGUGCUGAAGCAACAAAUGCCCUGCUUCCAGGAAAAGCCUCUAAGCAUCAGGUAACAUCAAAUCGUACCCCAAACCGACACAGGUGGUCAGGUAGAGAAUACCAAGGCGCUUGAGAGAACUCGGGUGAAGGAACUAGGCAAAAUGGUGCCGUAACUUCGGGAGAAGGCACGCUGACACGUAGGUGAAGUGAUUUACUCAUGGAGCUGAAGUCAGUCGAAGAUACCAGCUGGCUGCAACUGUUUAUUAAAAACACAGCACUGUGCAAACACGAAAGUGGACGUAUACGGUGUGACGCCUGCCCGGUGCCGGAAGGUUAAUUGAUGGGGUCAGCGCAAGCGAAGCUCCUGAUCGAAGCCCCGGUAAACGGCGGCCGUAACUAUAACGGUCCUAAGGUAGCGAAAUUCCUUGUCGGGUAAGUUCCGACCUGCACGAAUGGCGUAAUGAUGGCCAGGCUGUCUCCACCCGAGACUCAGUGAAAUUGAACUCGCUGUGAAGAUGCAGUGUACCCGCGGCAAGACGGAAAGACCCCGUGAACCUUUACUAUAGCUUGACACUGAACAUUGAGCCUUGAUGUGUAGGAUAGGUGGGAGGCUUUGAAGUGUGGACGCCAGUCUGCAUGGAGCCGACCUUGAAAUACCACCCUUUAAUGUUUGAUGUUCUAACGUGGACCCGUUACCCGGGUUGCGGACAGUGUCUGGUGGGUAGUUUGACUGGGGCGGUCUCCUCCUAAAGAGUAACGGAGGAGCACGAAGGUUGGCUAAUCCUGGUCGGACAUCAGGAGGUUAGUGCAAUGGCAUAAGCCAGCUUGACUGCGAGCGUGACGGCGCGAGCAGGUGCGAAAGCAGGUCAUAGUGAUCCGGUGGUUCUGAAUGGAAGGGCCAUCGCUCAACGGAUAAAAGGUACUCCGGGGAUAACAGGCUGAUACCGCCCAAGAGUUCAUAUCGACGGCGGUGUUUGGCACCUCGAUGUCGGCUCAUCACAUCCUGGGGCUGAAGUAGGUCCCAAGGGUAUGGCUGUUCGCCAUUUAAAGUGGUACGCGAGCUGGGUUUAGAACGUCGUGAGACAGUUCGGUCCCUAUCUGCCGUGGGCGCUGGAGAACUGAGGGGGGCUGCUCCUAGUACGAGAGGACCGGAGUGGACGCAUCACUGGUGUUCGGGUUGUCAUGCCAAUGGCACUGCCCGGUAGCUAAAUGCGGAAGAGAUAAGUGCUGAAAGCAUCUAAGCACGAAACUUGCCCCGA